rnacentral:rRNA from 1 species
AGAGAGAGACAUGCGCGCAUAUCAAUAAGCGGAGGAAAAGAAACUAACAAGGAUUCCCUUAGUAACGGCGAGUGAAGCGGGAAGAGCUCAAAUUUGAAAUCUUCAAGGUUUUACCUUGACGAAUUGUAGUUUAAAGAAGUGUUUUCUGCUGAAGUUUUGGUAAAAGUUCUUUGGAAUAGGACAUCAUAGAGGGUGAGAAUCCCGUAUUUGACCAUUAUUUUCAGCUUUGUGAUACACUUUCAAAGAGUCGGAAUAGUUUGGGAAUGCAGUCCAAAAUGGGUGGUAAAUUUCAUCUAAAGCUAAAUAUUGGCGAGAGACCGAUAGCGAACAAGUACCGUGAGGGAAAGAUGAAAAGAACUUUGAAAAGAGAGUUAAACAGUACGUGAAAUUGUCAAAAGGGAAGCGUUUGACACCAGUGUUGUUUUCUCGAAAAUCAAUUAAAAAUGGCUCGAUUUUGUAUUGCUUGAGACCUUAAAAGCUCACUGUACAUUUUUCGUGUCUUUUUUAAUGCACUUUUCGUUUAACAAGUCAACAUCAGUUUCUUUUGUUGUAAAAGGGUCAUUGGAAGGUGGCUUUCUUUUCGGAGAAAGUGUUUAUAGCCUUUGGCCUCUGCAAUCGGAGAGACUGAGGUCUGCAGCGUAGACUCUUCGGGGUUAGAUACAUUUGUGCUAAGUUAUAGCUUUUUAUAGACAACUUGUUGACUAUAAUUAGUCUUGUAGCUUACUCGCUUAUGCUAUUUUACCUACGCUUAGGAUGUUGAAGAUGUAGCACAUCAU